UCUCUUCUGGCUCAUUAUCAUAUGUUUGCAUUUGGUUUGUCUGAUUGCUGCAGGUGGAAACAAUAGGUGAUGCAUACUGUGUUGCCGCAGGACUCCAUAGGAAAAGCCUCUGCCACGCUAAGCCCAUUGCUCUCAUGGCCCUGAAGAUGAUGGAGCUUUCAGAAGAGGUGCUGACACCUGAUGGAAGACCAAUUCAGAUGAGGAUAGGCAUCCACUCAGGUUCUGUGCUCGCUGGAGUUGUUGGGGUAAGAAUGCCACGAUAUUGGCUGUUUGGAAAUAAUGUCACUCUGGCAAGCAAAUUCGAAUCAGGAAGUCACCCUCGGCGCAUCAACGUCAGCCCUACCACUUACCAACUGCGUGUUCCUGGUGACUGUGCCAGCUUGGAGAUUUGGAUGUGAUGGACUGGGGAUCCUGGAACCCUCCUUGCUGAGGCUUCCCUGGUGGGAUGUCUGGAACCACACUGGGUGCAGUCCAGGCUACUGUGCGGAGGGUGCCCUGGCAGGACAACUGCAGUGGAAGUGGAUGCAAGCUGAGGGAUCCUGGGGAUCUCUGCACCAAGGAUGGCCAGUUCCAUGGCCUUCACAUGAAAGUGAUCUGUGUGACAGUCUUCUCCACUGAGCUUAAGCAGGAGACUGAAAUCUCAAACUGUGGCCUCAACAUUGUCAUCUGAAAGCUGGAUGUCUAUUUCCUGAAUUUUUAUACUGAUCUGGAAAAGAAGGCAAGAAGAGCUAGUACUUUGGGCAUCUCUACACAGGUCCAUACCGAACACAUUAAUUUUAAUUAAUUUGUAUAAACUUGUGAUCCAGACAUUAUGGGAGCACUCACCCAGUCCACACUACCCUUUCUAGAAUGUAUCCCUUUCACAGCCCCUUUUGAAGGAAGUGACUCCUUACCACCAGCUGAUGUGGCUUAGGUUGAAUGCAAACACAAGAAGAACCAGCAUGUAGAUGGAGAGAGACUAAUUUCUUUCUUCUGAGAAGUUGCACUUGGAGAUACAGGGGAUGUUAUUCAGAAGAUAGUGGAAGAUUGAAUCGAAGUGUCAGCAAGUAGAGGAAUGUGAAAUCACAUGAAACUCAACAAGAGAGAAAAGAAGGAAGCAGAGAUAAAGGAGAAUCUCAUGCUUUAAAAACACAAAGAAUGUGCACAAGAAUUUUCUGUUCUAGUGUCCGUCCCCAGGAGGCUUGGCUUAUUUCAUUUCUUUCCUUAUCCUAAAACUAAAUUCACCUUAACUUAAACUGGCUUAAAUGGGCUUUAUCCCUUGCAACCAGUGAUGCUAUGCUGAUACGUUAAUUUCUAGAAAGGUCUGUGGCUGAAGAUAACCAGUUUCUCCUCCCUUAACCAGUCUGUGUGUGUUCAGACAUGGCUUGAAUGUCUAUCAGUGAACUCGUGGCUCCUCCAAAUUAGCAACAUCAUUUCUAAUGGCCAGUCCUCACACAUUUAAAUUGACAACAGCCAUGGAAGCUAAUUUUCCAGAAUCAGGCAAACUCUCAUCCCAUUUCUCCCUUGCAAAUACGAAAUUCAAGCAGCAUCUUGCAGAAACAGCCAGGAGCAGGUUAUUGCAUCUGGGCUUUUGGGACUCAGAGUGCCAAUUUCCCAGCACUGAUAGGUGAGGUCUUUGAAGCUCCCUU
ensembl:lncRNA